rnacentral:rRNA from 1 species
CCUACGGGGGGCAGCAGUGAGGAAUAUUGGUCAAUGGACGCAAGUCUGAACCAGCCAUGCCGCGUGCAGGAAGACGGCUCUAUGAGUUGUAAACUGCUUUUGUACGAGGGUAAACGCAGAUACGCGUAUCUGUCUGAAAGUAUCUUACGAAUAAGGAUCGGCUAACUCCGUGCCAGCAGCCGCGGUAAUACGGAGGAUUCAAGCGUUAUCCGGAUUUAUUGGGUUUAAAGGGUGCGUAGGCGGUCGGAUAAGUUAGAGGUGAAAUCCCGAGGCUCAACUUCGGAAUUGCCUCUGAUACUGGUAGGCUAGAGAGUAGUUGAGGUAGGUGGAAUGUAUGGUGUAGCGGUGAAAUGCUUAGAGAUCAUACAGAACACCGAUUGCGAAGGCAGCUUACCAAGCUACUUCUGACGUUGAGGCACGAAAGCGUGGGGAGCAAACAGGAUUAGAUACCCCAGUAGUC